ensembl:lncRNA
AUUUGGAGGGACAAAUUCAAAACAAAUAUAGAGUCUUGGGCUUCAUAUUGACUGUAGGUAUGUAGUAAAGCUGUGCAGAAUUGCAUAUGCUUUUAACAGGCUCAAGUCUUCACUCAGUUUUCAGUCCUCUGAGAGAUGUUGCUGUCCAAAUGGUUUUGUCUAAAGACUUCUGCUGUUCAGUGGCUGGCCAAUAUAGGCUCUGAAGGAGGUUUUGGAUAAACAGUGUCCUGCUGAGGAAGAAUGACUUUAUGUGUAUUUACACAGCAGAUUAGUGGCUGACAAUUAUUCUUUGGUGAAAAAUGCACACUUUAAAUUACAGCUCCUUUGGUUGUGCUUACAUGGGUCAUUACCUCUUGGGGGUAUUUUUAUGCAGUGGUUUCCAUGUGUUGUCACUUAACAGUAUUUAGUUUUCUUGUUCUAAUAAAACAAGAAAGCCUGGGUGAGCAUCAGCUUGGGAAUAGUACAGGCUGAAAGCUCCACUUUGCAAAUACUUGUCUAUGAAUUGGUUUCUGUAGGUCAACUUUCCCUGAAAUCAAUUUAUUCUACCCAGCUGUAUGAAACACAUGCAGCAAUAGAAUCAGCCCAAGACAGAGGAAGAAGUCCAUCAGAUCUGACAGAACUGAAGAGAAAGUGGAACUCUCCUUUGGUUUCAGUUGACCUGAUCCAGCCCAGGCCAUGGGGCACCAACUGGUCAGAUGCCUGAAAGUGUUCUUGGUUCCACUGAGGCACCGUGCACCUGGAGCAGCACCCUGCUCUGCUUGCGGCUGCUCUGCUGCCCUAAGUAUCAGUGGAUCCCCAAAUCAAAAUGAACACCAUCAAACAAGAUAAAGACAAUCUGUCUCGGUCCCUGGGGAUAACCAGGAAACUACCUUAGAACUGCAUUCAGUGGCUGAAUACAGCGUCAGAAACGCUUGUGGCUCCAUCUCCUUUCAUCUGGAAUUCUGAAUUACCCUAAAGGAACUGAAACUCCACAUCCCCAUAUCUUACACCACCAUUUCCAAAACUGAGAGCCAAUCCUGUGUUCACACAAUCUCUUCUGCAACCUGAUGGAUGUUGUCUUGUAACAGUAAGACUGUGUGCCGCAUCCUUGUCCAAAGGCUGCUCCAGCAGUCUGCUUCUUAAAGUUACAUUUCUUCUUCCCAACCCAAGUUCUUUUGGGGUCAUUGUACUACUUGUUAAUCUUGUGCCAGCUUUUAUCUGAAUGGAAAUAGUUCCUCUCCCUUCCUGUAUUUGUUGCUCAUAUGUAAUCCAUGCCUCUCUCUGUCCCCUUUUUACACCACUACACAAGGCAG